CAGUAGGAUGGAAUGAGGCUACUUGAAGAAAAACACCAAGGUUCAAGCUUGACCGGGCAAAAUUGGCCAUUUUUUAGUUUUUGCUUCAUUCCCGUAACACGACAAUGAGCAAAGAGGGGCAGCUGUAAUGACCCAAUAUUGCCCGACCCAAAUAAAAAAUAAAUAAACAAAAAAUAUAAAAAAAUAAAAUAAACCAAACCAAAAUCUAAAAGUCCACAGUCCAAAUACAUAGGCCCAACGUGGCCCAAAUCAUUUUAACCCACUAGCCUAGCCCAAUAACCCCAAAUCAUUUAACCUAAACUACCCAAACCGUUAGCCCAAUACAAGCCCAAAAUAGUUUCAAAGAAACCCUAGCACCAAGGCCAUCCUCCGCGUGUGCCGAGCCACUCUCCACGCAUGCAGUGCCUCCACGCGCCUCCAGCUGGCCUCCAUACGUUGAACCUGCGCAGGAAACAAACAAACAACCAG
rnacentral:lncRNA from 1 species